rnacentral:rRNA from 1 species
UGGGGAAUAUUGCACAAUGGACGAAAGUUUGAUGCAGCGACGCCGCGUGGAGGGUGUAGGCCUUCGGGUUGUGAACUCCUUUUUCUCGCGAAAAAGGCACAGUUUUGGCUGUGUUGAUGGUAGUGGGGGAAGAAGCGCCGGCUAACUACGUGCCAGCAGCCGCGGUAAUACGUAGGGCGCGAGCGUUGUCCGGAUUUAUUGGGCGUAAAGAGCUCGUAGGCGGCAAAUUAAGUCAGAUGUGAAAACUAAGGGCUCAACCCAUAGAUUGCAUCUGAAACUGAUAUGCUUGAGUCAAGGAGAGGGAAGUGGAAUUCCUAGUGUAGCGGUGGAAUGCGUAGAUAUUAGGAGGAAUACCGGUGGCGAAGGCGACUUUCUGGACUUGAACUGACGCUGGGGCACGAAAGCGUGGGGAGCAAACAGG